UGUAAAAUGGAUUCUGUCCAGGAGGUGGGAAGGUCUGGGAGGGAGGGUCUGCUGCUGAUUGGCUGGAAUGUGUCUGCUGACUGUGAGGUACAGGGUCAAAGUUUACUCAAUGAUGAGUCCGUGGCGAACCGUUCAGCGAACCGUUCGGGACAUCACUAAUCAUCAUUAUAAAUGUUGCCAUUUCUGCCAUUGAACAUGGUGAAACAAACAAUGUUUAUGGGCUUAACCAUUAAUGUAAAAUAUAAGGUAGGCAGUCUUAAGUGUGCCAAACAGAAUAGAUACAUAUUAUUCUCCUCUUCAUAUACAUUGUAUGCCUUGGUUGUGCCAGAACUGACUUGGAUUGUGAUAUCCCAUCCUCCAUAGCUUUAAUAUACAUUUAAGAGAAAAUGGAGCAUCACAUUAAAAAUGGUUAAAAUUUAUUUUAGCUGAUAUUCAACGUAUUAUUCAAUCCUGUACGUGACAGUUUCCCUUUAGACCUACUUGAAUUUUUCUCCUAAUACUAAGGAAAAGGUGUGGUCAAUGCUUAAUUUUUUAGAAAUGAAUGCAGUACACUUGUCAGAUUAACACCACCUCUAUUUUGAUAUAGCCAUUAAAACAAGCCAUAAUUAUGUUUUACUGUUCUUGAAAGAAAUGCCAUUUUAUGUUAUGUUAAUAUCAUUCUGUGCGCAAUAAUAUUUAUUAAUCCUUCUGUAUCUUUGUAAUAAAUAUUUGCAAUGUGCUCUUAA